AAAGAGGCUUCUAGAGCUUUUAAUAAUACAUAAUUUAUUUUUAGGUAAACUUCAAAUACCACACAUAUGGUUUCAUACUUUUUCACUUUAGUACCGUAUGAUUCAAAAUGUAUCAAUAUAGUACCUUAUGAUUUCAUUUUUUUUUUCUCGUCAGCUCCUUCGUUAACAUUUUGUUCAAUUAUAUACAAAAAAUUUUAGAUGCCCCAUCUAGGUUAAUCGAAUACUCACUUUAGCACAUUUUAGUAUUAACUUUGCCAUUGAUUUAAUGAAAAAAAUUAGUGGAGAGAAUAAUAAAAAGAGAAAAAUAAAACUACGGAGUACUAAAUUAAUACACUUUAAGACAUAGGGUACUAAAAUAAAAAAGUGCGAACUACAGGAGUGGCAUUUGAAGUUUUUUUUUUAUUUUUAUAAUUCAUAAAGAUGUACUGGGUUUUU
rnacentral:lncRNA from 1 species